UACAGAGGUCUCGAGCGUUAGGCGGAAUCACUGGGCUUAAAGCGUGUGUAGGCGGAUCGUUAAGUGCCUUGUGAAAUCCCACGGCUUAACCGUGGAACUGCUUGGCAUACUGGCGGUCUUGAGCAACCUAGGGGCGAGCGGAACAAAUGGUGGAGCGGUGAAAUGCGUAGAUAUCAUUUGGAACGCCAAUGGUGAAAACAGCUCGCUGGGGGUUUGCUGACGCUGAGACACGAAAGCCAGGGGAGCGAACGGG
rnacentral:rRNA from 1 species